rnacentral:lncRNA from 1 species
CUAAUCACCCCAUAUGCCUAACACCUUAGAGAGCGUAGCUAUUCUAGUCAUUUUAAAGUCUUGCACACUAAUCACCCCAUAUGCCUAACACUUUAGAGAGUGUAGCUAUUCUAGUCAUUUUAAAGUCUUGCACACUAGUUCCAACCCUAUACUUACAUGUCAAUUUUAGGAAUUAAAAUUGCAGGAAGUAAAGAGAGAGCUAGAACACCGAUCUUCCCCAAGUAUCAGAGAGUCGGCAUUCUCCCCUAGUUCUCAGAGCACCCGCACAAGGACCAAAUGCUAACUAGUGGCAAUCCAUUCUCAACUUCAGACCAGUGGGUUCCAAACCGAGCACAAUGUUCUUAGGACUUCUCACAAGACGACUCCUCGAGAGCUCACCAAGAAACAUACCACCAACACCAAGCCAUAUAGGUGAUGCCGAUCACCAAGAAUAACAAGUAAAGAACACCACUUAACCUACACAAAGCUAAAGAGAUGGGUGGAUGCACAAUUGAUACUCUCCAAGCACAAAUGAUGUCCUUAAUCUUAAAUUAAAAAACUUGCAAAUCACUUCUAGUGCUUCUCUUGUUCUUUGAACUUCCAAAAAAAAUUAUGACCAAGGCCUGCAAAAUUCAGGGUCACCGACAGCUCCUGCACACUAUUACUGUGCACACCGAAUUAUUCGGUGAUCACUUUCCUUCAUGUUCCAACAGUCACUAACUAUCACCGACUCAUCCAAUGAUACCCUUUAUUGUUAAACACCAGUGCAUACAGUGUGGCUUUGAAAUCAUGCACAACCGAAUUUGAGCAAUGCGAACCGAUGAACACUGACUCAUCUGGUGUAGAUUCACAUCAGAGCAUACAGUGUGGCCCACAAAUCAUACAAACCCGAAUUCGAGCCGAUGUUGAGCCGAUCCAAGAUGACCACCGACUUAUACGAUGACUAUAUCGGAUAACUAUCAUUGUUUAAACCGAACAAUCGGUGUGGUACUGUAUACAUCAAGAAUCAACCAACAGUUAAACCCCUG